AAGAGAGUAAUUCUUAUUGAAGUUUAGUUUGAGUUCUUGUGUUUUUGUCUAAUCGUUUUCAACAAACUUAUUGUAAGAUGUUGCUUCACGGUGGGAAGAGGUGGAAAGACCUUCGCUGGAGGGACAGUCAACGUGGUGGAAGUUUGCAUGUAGCAGUCACGUUUUUACCGGCCGAACAUUGCAUGCAUGAAGAUUGAGUUUUGAUUCCAUUUGAUAUAUAAAUUUGUGUAUAAUUUAGUUUAGUUGUCUCACAAUCAAAACUCAUCACCAAAACUCAUCUAAUGCCCAAAGGUAGAGUCCACCCAGAAACAAGUUUGUAAACAAGUUCCAGCUUUAUCUCCAGGGAAAGAAUUUGAAGACCUGGACGUAAGUGAUCACCUAAUUUCUCCAGACCAGCCCACAGCAGGUACACAUCGGUGUUUCAUAAUGGAGAGAAAGUGAUAGUGAAAGUACAAGUGACACAUGAUCUGUGGAGUUUUUAUAAGGUUCUUCAAUCACCGAGUAUUAGAACCUUUUCUGACACACUUUCUAUUUUUUGGCACUUUUAAGUUUUGGAAACUUAUGUAUAGUCCACCCAAAAUCUAGUUUGUAAAUGGGAAGACCAACGAAAUUUUAUUAA